GUGGGUGUGCCGGAGUGGUCAAACGGGCAGGACUUAAGAUCCUGUGGCUUAGUGCCUGCGCAGGUUCGAACCCUGUCACCCACA
rnacentral:tRNA from 1 species